rnacentral:rRNA from 1 species
GAUGAACGCUGGCGGCGUGCUUAACACAUGCAAGUCGAACGGGAUCCAAGGGGUGCUUGCACUUUUUGGUGAGAGUGGCGAACGGGUGAGUAACACGUGAGUAACCUGUCCUUUUCUUUGGGAUAAGCAUUCGAAAGGGUGUUUAAUACCUUAUGUUCUGUCUGCCUCGCAUGGGGUGGGUGGGAAAGGCUUUGGCCGGAUUUGGGUGGGCUCGCAGUCUAUCAGCUUGUUGGUGGGGUGAUGGCUUACCAAGGCUUUGACGGGUAGCCGGCCUGAGAGGGUGGUCGGUCACAUUGGGACUGAGAUACGGCCCAGACUCCUGCGGGAGGCAGCAGUGGGGGAUAUUGCACAAUGGGCGAAAGCCUGAUGCAGCGACGCCGCGUGGGGGAUGAAGGCCUUCGGGUUGUAAACUUCUUUUGCUCUGAACAAGGCAUGCCAGUGGGUGUGUUGAGUGUAGGGGUUGAUUAGCGCCGGCUAACUACGUG